GGGGAUGUGGCUCAAUGGUAGAGCGCUUGCCUAGCAAGUGCAAGGCCCUGGGUUCGAUCCCCAGCUCCA
rnacentral:tRNA from 1 species